UUUUUUUUUUUUUUUUUAAUUUGGCUUCAUUAAGAGUUCAUAGUGUAUUCCUACUAUUUUGAUAUCAUAUCAUGCUACUGGGCCUUGGCAUUCUCUGGAGCAUUCCAUUUUCCAAUUUAAACAAUAUGAUAACAGUUGUGAUGGUUAUAAUUCAUGGUUGUGCAUAUGUGGUGCCCCAUGGUUCCCUAUUGCAGAGGAGAAUUUUUCCAAAUUAUUUUGGUGUUUGUUUUUUAACUGGCAUUGAUCAUGUACUGUUCAUUGCUUCAGAAGCUCAAUUUACACGGAAAAGUAAUGGCUCAAAGAGAGACAUGUAUUAUGGAUAUUUUAUGUAUUAGUGAAGUUUGCUCAUAUUCUAUGCAUUAGGAUGUACAUUUUUUGCCCUUAAUCAUAGGACCAUGUCGUGAUUACCUUCAUUUAGACACAAGGUCACCCAAAAUUUUUUGAACAGUCAUCUGGUGCUCUUAAUAUUGUUUUAUUUUUAAUUUUUCAUUGAUUUCUCAACUCUUAAAUAUGUUUUCCUUCUCCCAUUUUAAAGGCCAUCUUCUCAAUGUGCUGAGAUAACAAAAAAUAAUGUGUUUCUUCUUCCAGUUAUGCUGUGCUUUCUUGUAAGAUCACAUGAUUGUUGCCUCAUUUUUCUGACUUUGUAGUAAAUGCUGCCUUUACCUACUAUAGCAGUGAAAUUGAUCGUUUAAUAUAAUUUCUGACCCUAAUAUUCUGGGAUUUUUUGGCUCCCCUCGUUGGUUUUCAUGGCUGCAUUUAAAAUAAAAUAUACAUGUUUAAUUCUCUCUUUGCAGACUCAUGAAAGAAUGUAAAGU
rnacentral:misc_RNA from 1 species